UUAAUGGGAGCAAUUUUUGACAUAUUUGAAACCCAUAGAAACCGUAACUAGGACAUCUGGAUUGAGAGAGUCAUGAGUGUUUUGGCCGUAACUCGAUAUUUGAAGUGGGAUUUUAUGAGUAUGAAUUUGCAUAUUGCGAUAUUUGCAUGUGCGCGAGACUUCUUAAUAAAGAAGGCCUUUGAAAAGGACACCACAUAUAAUAGCUAGAAAAGGUACCAAUCACUCUGUGUUUUAACAGACUUUGAAGGUGAGAUUGAAUUCGGGGGGAAAAAGAAGGCGGAAGCGGAGAAAGAUUUGGUUCCUGAAUUUUCUCACGAUUCUAAGGGUAGAGCCAUCAAUCGACAGAGAAAUAUUUCCAACUUGAGGAAAUUUCCAAAGGUUUGAAUUUAACUAAAAAAGCGUAUGAAAUUCAGCUGGCUUGCUUGAGAACACAUUGAUCAAAAGAAAGAAAGAAAGCCACAGGGUAGCUUUGUCCUUUCACAACAGUGAUAUGAAAUACUGACUAGGAGCAAAAGGAACGCAUAUCCAAGUGUGUUGAGGUGAGGUGCAAGCAGAAUGAAUAAAAGGCCAAGAUCUCCGGAAAAUCUACGACAGCGACGUCUACCAGAAGUGUAAAUAACUUAACUCUUUGGAGUUUUGCACCAUCAAACUCUGUCUUCCCUGUGGAUGAGAUGAUCUUACUAACAAUGAUUUUAAUGAAAUCUCCAAUGAACAGAACCCCAAAGAGAAAUUAUUUACACUUCCAGUUGACGUCGCUGUCGUAGAUUUUGUAAAUCUUAAAAUCCUUUGGUGUCUCUAUGAAGAAGAGGAUUAAAAAGCUAUUGUCAUUCUAGCUGUCGUAAAAUUAGAAUAGCCUGUGUAAAAAAAGUAAGCAUAAAACAUAGUGUCUGUAGUCAGUAAGAAAAACCUCCAUGAAAUCGACUUCUUCCCGACUUCUACUCGCAGCAGCUGUCCAAAGCUAAAUCAUUCUAUGCUACACCAUUGUUUAAUGUUCGAUCAGUGUUUAUACACAGAAAUGUAUGCCUUAUUAUUAGUCCUAUCGCGUCUCGUUCUCUCGCGGGCAAUUUUUAAUUAUCUCUCAAUAUCGAAAUAAUACUGACUGAACUGAAAUUGUGGCUACCAAAAUUCCGACUAAAAAUGGCGGCUUGUCGUCACCUGAUCGUCUCCAUUGAGUGAGCAGUCAUAAUUACUCAGUUAACAUUCAUAGAAGCCUCGGUUUUUAGUCUCGUUUUCCCCCCAAGUGAAAUAGAAAACCUAGCAAAUGUAUGUAUCUAUAGUAGCGGUAGUGCGCUCACUUCUGGGGCUCGGGUUAAAAUCUUGGAAUCGGCACAAUUUCUCUGCCAGCCCGCAACACAGUUUUUACUGCGGUUUUUUUAAUAAGCUUGUUUUAAAUUCAACGUUUGACAGAAAUGCUGCAAUAUGGGGAUAUCCGAGUGCUCAUCAUGUACUUAUAAAAAAUUAAACUGAUUUGCGACUUAUACAAGUGUCUUUUAUUGACCUCUUUACUUUGGGCGUAUAAAUGUUUUACCAUUUCAGAUGACACUGUCAUUCUCUUGCUAAAUGAAUUCUUUAUUUGUUUUAUAUCCAUAUUCAAGUUUCUUAUCAUUUAUAGCUGUUAAACAAAGAAAUGAUACUCUGGGGAAUGACACAUGGUCUGAGCCGAAAAGGCCGGGUUUAUUGAGAAAGCAUUGAGUGCAAUUCAAGCCGACCCUUAGGUCUUUCAAUCAAAUCUAUUGUUUCUUGUUUUACUUUUGUUUGAUAGGAUUAGUCUUGACCAAUUGUUAAUGGGCAGCGAAAAUUUUAGAACCUGAAUUAGUGAAACUGACAAAAGUACUCUUCCGGCAGUGAAAAAAGAAGAAGGAAAGAGAGAAAGAAAGAGAGAGUGUGAGUGAGUGAA
rnacentral:lncRNA from 1 species